rnacentral:rRNA from 1 species
AGAUUGAACGCUGGCGGCAGGCCUAACACAUGCAAGUCGAGCGGUAGAGAGGUGCUUGCAUCUCUUGGGAGCGGCGGACGGGUGAGUAAUGCCUAGGAAUCUGCCUAGUGGUGGGGGAUAACGUUCGGAAACGGACGCUAAUACCGCAUACGUCCUACGGGAGAAAGCGGGGGACCUUCGGGCCUCGCGCCAUUAGAUGAGCCUAGGUCGGAUUAGCUAGUUGGUGAGGUAAUGGCUCACCAAGGCGACGAUCCGUAACUGGUCUGAGAGGAUGAUCAGUCACACUGGAACUGAGACACGGUCCAGACCUCGUACGGGAGCAGCAGUGGGAAUAGUUGGACAAUGGGACGAAAGCCUGACUCCGAGCCAUGCCGCGUGUGUAGAAGGAAGGUCUUGGAUUGAAAGCUAUUUAAGGUGGAGGUAAGGUUGUAACUAGUACGUUGACUAACUUGACCGUUACCGAUAGAAUAAGCGUAACCGGCUAACGUUCG